CAGCAGGCGCGAAAACUUUACAAUGCGGGAAACCGCGAUAAGGGGAUACUGAGUGCCAGCAUAUUAUGUUGGCUGUCCAUAUGUAUAAAUAGCAUGUGUUAGCAAGGGCCGGGCAAGACCGGUGCCAGCCGCCGCGGUAACACCGGCGGCCCGAGUGGUGGCCACUAUUAUUGGGUCUAAAGGGUCCGUAGCCGGUUUGAUCAGUCUUCCGGGAAAUCUGACAGCUCAACUGUUAGGCUUCUGGGGGAUACUGUCAGACUUGGGACCGGGAGAGGUAAGAGGUACUACAGGGGUAGGAGUGAAAUCUUGUAAUCCUUGUGGGACCACCAGUGGCGAAGGCGUCUUACCAGAACGGGUCCGACGGUGAGGGACGAAAGCUGGGGGCACGAACCGGAUUAGAUACCCGGGUAGUCCCAGCCGUAAACGAUGCUCGCUAGGUGUCUGGGACGGUGCGACCGUUUCAGGUGCCGCAGGGAAGCCCGUGAAAG
rnacentral:rRNA from 1 species